GCCGGGAUGGUGGAAUUGGCAGACACGCCAGCUUGAGGGGCUGGUGGGAGCAAUCCUGUGUGGGUUCAAGUCCCGCUCCCGGCACCA
rnacentral:tRNA from 1 species